ACAUUGAAAUACUAUGGGAAAAUAAUUAAAAGAAUGGACAACUUUGAGCAAAAUCUAGUCAGAGAAUCUCUGGAAAUAGAAAAAAGAAGAAAUUCCAAAAGCAUACUAAAUAGCAGAGAGUCUAAAGAAAUACCAGCCCCAUGGUGCUAUGCAAUUAAAGAGACAUGCGAGUAGAAACUGUUACACUUCAUGACAAACUACAAUUGUAUUGUAAAAUAUACAGAGAACUUAUCUGCAGCACAGCUUGGACUGCAAAUGUGCGGCCUACAUAUACCUUGGUUACUUCUGUUUUGAUUUUUUAUUUUAUUUUUGAUAAUAUUUUCGUUUUAUUUUAUUAUGUUAAGUUAUAUUAUAUUAUUUAUUAUAUAUGCUGUAGUAUUGAUGGUAU
rnacentral:lncRNA from 1 species